rnacentral:ncRNA from 1 species
UAUUGUAGUUUAACUUUUACUAUAAAAUCAAUUAUUAAUUAUAAUUACAUGGAAAUUUAAUAUACUUAAGAAAUUAAUAGUAACAAUUGUUAAUCAAUUUAAUAUCUUAGCCCAGUAAUAAAUCUUAAAUAUUAACGUAAGUUAGAUUUAAAUAAUUAAUUUAUCAUUAAUUAAAUUUGUGCCAGCAAUUGCGGUUAGACAAUAAAUGACUUUGAUUUUAUCGAAAUUAAUUGAUAGAUAAUUGGGUUAUUAAAGGUAUAAUUUUAAAUAACCCUCUCUUAUCUAACUCUAUCUUUUUAUUUAUUAAUUAGAAAUAUAAACAAGGAUUGGAUACCCUUUUAUAUUUUAACUAACUAUUAUAUUUCGAAUAUUAAAAUAAUUAUUUAAACUCAAAGAGAAUGGCGGUGAUAAAUAUAAUUAAGGGAACCUGUAACUUAAUAUGAUAAUCCACACAUUUAUCUACUAUUUUUUGAAAUUUUCAGCUUGUGCAUUGCCGUUUAGUUAAUAUUAAUUAUUAACUUAAAAUAUCUAUUUUAUAAAUCAGGUCAAAAUGCAGCUAAUAUAAUAGAGGCUUAUGGGUUACUAAUAUAUACAAUUAUUAAAUAUGUAAUUUAAAUAUUAUAAUUAGGACUUAACAGUAUUUUUUUUUUUAUAAAAAAUAAAUUAUCAAUUUGUCAUGCACAAAUCGCCCGUCACUACCAUAUUAUCAAUUUGGAUAAGUCGUAACAUAGUAGAAGUAAUGGAAAUUGCUUC